rnacentral:rRNA from 1 species
UGCGCAGGCGGGAAAUUAAGUCAGUGGUGAAAUCCUGCAGCUUAACUGUAGAAUUGCCAUUGAAACUGAUUUUCUUGAGUACAGUUGAGGUGGGCGGAAUGUGUAAUGUAGCGGUGAAAUGCUUAGAUAUUACACAGAACACCGAUUGCGUAGGCAGCUCACUGAACUGUUACUGACGCUCAGGCACGAAAGCGUGGGGAGCGAACAGGAUUAGAUACCCUGGUAGUCC